rnacentral:rRNA from 1 species
GACGAACGCUGGCGGCGUGCUUAACACAUGCAAGUCGAACGAAGAGCGAUGGAAGCUUGCUUCUAUCAAUCUUAGUGGCGAACGGGUGAGUAACGCGUAAUCAACCUGCCCUUCAGAGGGGGACAACAGUUGGAAACGACUGCUAAUACCGCAUACGAUCUGACCUCGGCAUCGAGGAUAGAUGAAAGGUGGCCUCUACAUGUAAGCUAUCACUGAAGGAGGGGAUUGCGUCUGAUUAGCUAGUUGGAGGGGUAACGGCCCACCAAGGCGAUGAUCAGUAGCCGGUCUGAGAGGAUGAACGGCCACAUUGGGACUGAGACACGGCCCAGACUCCUACGGGAGGCAGCAGUGGGGAAUCUUCCGCAAUGGACGAAAGUCUGACGGAGCAACGCCGCGUGAGUGAUGACGGCCUUCGGGUUGUAAAGCUCUGUUAAUCGGGACGAAAGGCCUUUUUGCGAAUAGUGAGAAGGAUUGACGGUACCGGAAUAGAAAGCCACGGCUAACUACGUG